GAACGCUGGCGGCAGGCCUAACACAUGCAAGUCGAGCGCGCCCUUCGGGGUGAGCGGCGGACGGGUGAGUAACGCGUGGGAACGUGCCCUUUUCUACGGAAUAGCCUCGGGAAACUGAGAGUAAUACCGUAUACGCCCUUUGGGGGAAAGAUUUAUCGGAAAAGGAUCGGCCCGCGUUGGAUUAGGUAGUUGGUGGGGUAAUGGCCUACCAAGCCGACGAUCCAUAGCUGGUUUGAGAGGAUGAUCAGCCACACUGGGACUGAGACACGGCCCAGACUCCUACGGGAGGCAGCAGUGGGGAAUCUUAGACAAUGGGGGCAACCCUGAUCUAGCCAUGCCGCGUGAGUGAUGAAGGCCUUAGGGUUGUAAAGCUCUUUCAGCUGGGAAGAUAAUGACGGUACCAGCAGAAGAAGCCCCGGCUAACUCCGUG
rnacentral:rRNA from 1 species